rnacentral:siRNA from 1 species
UGUGAUCGAGUGGUGGUCAG